rnacentral:rRNA from 1 species
UGCAAGUCGAGGGGCAGCAUGGUCUUAGCUUGCUAAGGCCGAUGGCGACCGGCGCACGGGUGAGUAACACGUAUCCAACCUGCCGUCUACUCUUGGACAGCCUUCUGAAAGGAAGAUUAAUACAAGAUGGCAUCAUGAGUCCGCAUGUUCACAUGAUUAAAGGUAUUCCGGUAGACGAUGGGGAUGCGUUCCAUUAGAUAGUAGGCGGGGUAACGGCCCACCUAGUCUUCGAUGGAUAGGGGUUCUGAGAGGAAGGUCCCCCACAUUGGAACUGAGACACGGUCCAAACUCCUACGGGAGGCAGCAGUGAGGAAUAUUGGUCAAUGGGCGAGAGCCUGAACCAGCCAAGUAGCGUGAAGGAUGACUGCCCUAUGGGUUGUAAACUUCUUUUAUAAAGGAAUAAAGUCGGGUAUGGAUACCCGUUUGCAUGUACUUUAUGAAUAAGGAUCGGCUAACUCCGUGCCAGCAGCCGCGGUAAUACGGAGGAUCCGAGCGUUAUCCGGAUUUAUUGGGUUUAAAGGGAGCGUAGAUGGAUGUUUAAGUCAGUUGUGAAAGUUUGCGGCUCAACCGUAAAAUUGCAGUUGAUACUGGAUAUCUUGAGUGCAGUUGAGGCAGGCGGAAUUCGUGGUGUAGCGGUGAAAUGCUUAGAUAUCACGAAGAACUCCGAUUGCGAAGGCAGCCUG